GAUGAACGCUGGCGGCGUGCCUAAUACAUGCAAGUCGAGCGAACAGAUGAGGAGCUUGCUCCUCUGACGUUAGCGGCGGACGGGUGAGUAACACGUGGAUAACCUACCUAUAAGAAUGGGAUAACUUCGGGAAACCGGAGCUAAUACCGGAUAAUAUAUUGAACCGCAUGGUUCAAUAGUGAAAGACGGUUUUGCUGUCACUUAUAGAUGGUUCCGCGCCGCAUUAGCUAGUUGGUAAGGUAACGGCUUACCAAGGCAACGAUGCGUAGCUGACCUGAGAGGAUGAUCGGCCACACUGGAACUGAGACACGGUCCAGACUCCUACGGGAGGCAGCAGUAGGGAAUCUUCCGCAAUGGGCGAAAGCCUGACGGAGCAACGCCGCGUGAGUGAUGAAGGUCUUCGGAUCGUAAAACUCUGUUAUUAGGGAAGAACAAAUGUGUAAGUAACUAUGCACGUCUUGACGGUACCUAAUCAAAAAGCCACGGCUAACUACGUG
rnacentral:rRNA from 1 species